CCAGAGCCUUCUGGAUGACCAGCUCUGGGAACUUGGUGCCGUCGCCGCGGGACUUAACGUCCAGUCCAAAGAGGCCGUGGUCAUCGCGCGUAAGCAGUUUUCUCUAUGGAGCACCAGAAGGUUCCACACUGCCAGAAGGUUCUAUCCACUGCACCUGAGAACAGAGGCAAUCGGUAGGAUGCCUUUUGGGGUCCCUUGGCUGUGAUGCAAGUGGAGCAUGUGAAUCAACGUUCCAUCUACCCUGGGAAGCCGUCUUGGGCCUUGAGGGACCAACUCACAGUGGAUCUUGGUCCCUUGCUGCAUAUCUUUCUUCCAUCAUAUUUCUCAUGUGAGUGGCCGGGAUGACUCUAGUCAUUGCUCCUGUGAUUCGGGAAUGCUCAGGCUGUUGCUUUAUGAAGUUGUUCCCACAGGUGAAGACUAUACUGAGCAGAAGUUGAUUUUAAAGCUUCUUUCUAAAUGUACAAAAGAUAAGUUUCUAUUAAGUAACUUUUCUAUUCUAAAGGUUGAAUUUAAAGACAAGAAACAUUUAAAAUAUUACAUAGGAAGAUACAGGCAUUUGAGUUAAAAUGGAACACAAGCUAAAAAGCGGACACUGCAGGGAUUUUACUAUAAAAUGUAUUCCAUAAUGAUAUUUUGUGAUAGUUUUUGUACUGUUUUACAUUUAGAUUUUAGUGUUGGCUAUUUGUGGUGACUUUGAGAAAAAUCACAUAGGAUUAAUAUCUUCUUGAUCUCAGGCUUAAGCUUUAGAAAUUGAAAUUGUAUUACCUCAUUGUUCUUGACUGGUAUAAUUAUAAAAGUGGUUAGCAAGACUAAAAUAUAAUCACACAAUAUCCCAAAUUAAAGGAUAUUAAAAUCUGCAUAUUGAAGAAAUAUCUGGGUUUAUUGCAGAUGUGGGAUGUGAGUUCUAGCUCAUAUUCACAUAUUCACACAAGUAAAUGGAUCAAGAAAAUGUGGUGUAUAUACACAAUGGAAUAUUAUUUUGCCAUUAAAAUGAAUGAAAUUCUGUCAUUUGCAAUAACAUGGAUGGAACUGGAGGAUAUUAUGUUAAGUGUUAUAAACCUGGCACAGAAAGACAAGUGUUGCAUCUUUUCGUAUGUGGGAACUAGAAACAAUUGAUCUCAUGGAGGCAGUGAAUAGCAUGAUGGUUACCAGAGGCUUGAAAGGCUAAAGUGGGUUUCAUUAAUUGGUAGAAAAAUACAUUUACAUAGCAAGAAUAAGAUCUAGUGUUUGGUAACACAAUAGGACAACUAUAGUUAACAAUCAUUUAUUGUACAUUACAAAAUAAUGGAAGGAAUACAUUUGGAAUGUUGCCAACACAAAGAAGUGAUAAGUGUUUGAACUGAUGGUUAGUUCAGUUAUCAGAUUUGAUCACUAUACAUUGUAUGCUUGUGUCACAUGUACCCCAUAAAUAUGUACGACUAUGUAUUAAUAAAUGUUUUAAUUGUGGAAAAUACAAUUAUACUGUUUAUAAAACUAUGCAGCGAUUUUUCUACAUUGAAAAUUCACCAGUUGAUACUCUGAACAAGACAUUGCUUAUAUUUCUUUUAAUUCUCUCUAUAUAUUUUUUCAAUUAUUCAUCCUUUUAAAAUCCAUUAAUCACCUUAUUACCUCCCUAUUGCAACUUCUCCUUGAUGUAUAUCAGAUACUGCAAUUUUAAAUCAAUUUUGAAAUUGCUGACUCAGUAUUAUAUUAAUUCAUUAUCAUGAAUUAUGAGUUUCACAUAUAAACAUUUAGGUCCCACAUUUUUCUAUGCUCUGGCAAAAUGUAAGAUGAAUGAAAUAUAAUUCUUGGUGGCUCAGUUUAAGAUUAAAAUAGACAUUCAAACAGAUAUUUGCAAUAUAAUGUGAUAAAUGGUAUGAAAGAAAUAUUUAUCCCUAACUACAGAUAUCUGAGGCUGUCACUUGAACAAUAGCUUCCUGGGUGGAUUAUGAGUAUCUCCAGGAGAAAUUAGUUGAUCAGGCAGACAGAAAAUAAAGUUCUGUGUAUCAGAGAGAGGGAGCAAAUAAAGCACAGAUUCUAGCAGUAAAUACUAUCAUAUGAGUAGGAAACUUACAAGUAAUUUAUUAGAAGUGGAAUCCCCAAGGUCCAGUGAUGUGUUGGAGCUGGUUCCCACCAGUUCACAAGAUCUUCUUGUGUACAUCUCCUCCCAACACUGUCUCUAAGGACAGUAACUUAUUAGGCUGGAUAUUGGCCAUGAUGAGAGUAUUUAUAUCACAGAAAUUGGCAAAUAUUACAGAUCAAGGUAUCCUCCCUCCUUUCCUUCCUUCCUUUCUUCCUUCCUUCCUUCCUU